rnacentral:rRNA from 1 species
CCUACGGGAGGCAGCAGUGGGGAAUAUUGCACAAUGGGGGAAACCCUGAUGCAGCAACGCCGCGUGAGUGCAGAAGUAUUUCGGUAUGUAAAGCUCUAUCAGCAGGGAAGAAGAAAGACGGUACCUGACUAAGAAGCCCCGGCUAACGACGUGCCAGCAGCCGCGGUAAUACGCAGGGGGCCAGCGUUAUCAGGAUUUAAUGGGUGUAAAGGGAGCGUAGACGGGUGUGCAAGUCUGAAGGGAAAGCCCGUGGCUCAACCGCGGAAGUGCUUUGGAAAUUGUAUGGCGUGAGGACUGGAGAGGCAGGCGGAAUUCCUAGUGUAGCGGUGAAAUGCGUAGAUAUUAGGAGGAACACCAGUGGCGAAGGCGGCCUGCUGGACAGAAACUGACGUUGAGGCUCGAAAGCGUGGGGAGCAAACAGGAUUAGAUACCCCAGUAGUC